GGGAAUAUAGCUUAGUAGUACAGCACUUGCCUGGCAAGCAAGAGGUCAUGAAUUGAUUCCU
rnacentral:tRNA from 1 species